rnacentral:rRNA from 1 species
GAUGAACGCUGGCGGCGUGCCUAAUACAUGCAAGUCGAGCGAACAGACGAGGAGCUUGCUCCUCUGACGUUAGCGGCGGACGGGUGAGUAACACGUGGAUAACCUACCUAUAAGACUGGGAUAACUUCGGGAAACCGGAGCUAAUACCGGAUAAUAUAUUGAACCGCAUGGUUCAAUAGUGAAAGACGGUUUUGCUGUCACUUAUAGAUGGAUCCGCGCCGCAUUAGCUAGUUGGUAAGGUAACGGCUUACCAAGGCAACGAUGCGUAGCCGACCUGAGAGGGUGAUCGGCCACACGGGAACUGAGACACGGUCCAGACUCCUACGGGAGGCAGCAGUAGGGAAUCUUCCGCAAUGGGCGAAAGCCUGACGAAGCAACGCCGCGUGAGUGAUGAAGGUCUUCGGAUCGUAAAACUCUGUUAUUAGGGAAGAACAAAUGUGUAAGUAACUAUGCACGUCUUGACGGUACCUAAUCAGAAAGCCACGGCUAACUACGUG